AAAUAUGAACUUUUAAACAUGAUUCAGUUAAAAUGGAGGGAACUACAUGUAUAUAACCAUUUCUAACAGUUGCAAACUUUCAAGUCUUGGAGUCACAUGAGAUGUUUCAACUCAAAGGAUGUCAGAUGAGGGAAAAGUGAUAAAUGUACUGUUGAACAGAACUAUCCUGUAUCCAUCGGAGAGGUCACACCACAAGUCAAGAAGAUGUUGCAUCAUGUGAAGUGAAGGAUAUA